GAAUUUUUGGCUCAGUCGGUAAGGGAGAUGACUGGUACGCAACAGGUCCCGGGUUCGACCCCCAGCUGCGGUCA